rnacentral:rRNA from 1 species
UGAGUGGCGGACGGGUGAGUAACGCGUGGGCAACCUGCCCUGUACAGGGGGACAACACUUAGAAAUAGGUGCUAAUACCGCAUAACGGGGGGAGCCGCAUGGCACCCCCCUGAAAACUCCGGUGGUACAGGAUGGGCCCGCGUCUGAUUAGCUGGUUGGCAGGGUAACGGCCUACCAAGGCGACGAUCAGUAGCCGGCCUGAGAGGGCGGACGGCCACACUGGGACUGAGACACGGCCCAGACUCCUACGGGAGGCAGCAG